CAGCAGCCGCGGUAAUACGAACCGUGCGAACGUUAUUCGGAAUCACUGGGCUUAAAGCGCGUGUAGGCGGGCCGCCACGUCGGCUGCUGAAAUCCCCCGGCUCAACCGGGGAACGGGCACCGAUACGAGCGGCCUGGAGGGGGGUAGGGGGGACUGGAACUUCCGGUGGAGCGGUGAAAUGCGUUGAGAUCGGAAGGAACGCCCGUGGCGAAAGCGAGUCCCUGGACCCUUUCUGACGCUGAGACGCGAAAGCCAGGGGAGCGAACGGGAUUAGAUACCCCAGUAGUCCCUGUCUCUUAUA
rnacentral:rRNA from 1 species